ACAUCCAUGGUUGAAUGGUUAAAGUGACCAACUCAUAAUUGGUGAACUCGUGGGUUCAAUUCCUGGUGGAUGUA
rfam:Picea glauca, whole genome shotgun sequence.